rnacentral:rRNA from 1 species
UACGUAGGGCGCAAGCGUUGUCCGGAAUUAUUGGGCGUAAAGAGCUCGUAGGCGGUUUGUCGCGUCUGCCGUGAAAGUCCGGGGCUCAACUCCGGAUCUGCGGUGGGUACGGGCAGACUAGAGUGAUGUAGGGGAGACUGGAAUUCCUGGUGUAGCGGUGAAAUGCGCAGAUAUCAGGAGGAACACCGGUGGCGAAGGCGGGUCUCUGGGCAAUAACUGACGCUGAGGAGCGAAAGCGUGGGGAGCGAACAGG